rnacentral:rRNA from 1 species
UGGGGAAUAUUGCACAAUGGGCGAAAGCCUGAUGCAGCAACGCCGCGUGAGUGAUGAAGGCCUUCGGGUUGUAAAGCUCUGUCUUUUGGGACGAUAAUGACGGUACCAAAGGAGGAAGCCACGGCUAACUACGUGCCAGCAGCCGCGGUAAUACGUAGGUGGCAAGCGUUGUCCGGAUUUACUGGGCGUAAAGGAUGCGUAGGCGGAUUUUUAAGUGAGAUGUGAAAACCCUAAGCUUAACUUGGGGACUGCAUUUCAUACUGGAAAUCUAGAGUGCGGGAGAGGAGAAUGGAAUUCCUAGUGUAGCGGUGAAAUGCGUAGAGAUUAGGAAGAACACCAGUGGCGAAGGCGAUUCUCUGGACCGUAACUGACGCUGAGGCAUGAAAGCGUGGGUAGCAAACAGGAUUAGAUACCCUGGUAGUCCACGCCGUAAAACGAUGAGUACUAGGUGUAGGAGGUAUCGACCCCUUCUGUGCCGCAGUUAACACAAUAAGUACUCCGCCUGGGAAGUACGAUCGCAAGAUUAAAAACUC